CCUACGGGACGCACCAGUGGGGAAUAUUGCACAAUGGGCGCAAGCCUGAUGCAGCCAUGCCGCGUGUAUGAAGAAGGCCUUCGGGUUGUAAAGUACUUUCAGCGGGGAGGAAGGCGAUAAGGUUAAUAACCUUGUCGAUUGACGUUACCCGCAGAAGAAGCACCGGCUAACUCCGUGCCAGCAGCCGCGGUAAUACGGAGGGUGCAAGCGUUAAUCGGAAUUACUGAGCGUAAAGCGCACGCAGGCGGUCUGUCAAGUCGGAUGUGAAAUCCCCGGGCUCAACCUGGGAACUGCAUCUGAUACUGGCAAGCUUGAGUCUCGUAGAGGGGGGUAGAAUUCCAGGUGUAGCGGUGAAAUGCGUAGAGAUCUGGAGGAAUACCGGUGGCGAAGGCGGCCCCCUGGACAAAGACUGACGCUCAGGUGCGAAAGCGUGGGGAGCAAACAGGAUUAGAUACCCCAGUAGUC
rnacentral:rRNA from 1 species